GUUGAACGCUGGCGGCAGGCCUAACACAUGCAAGUCGAGCGGAUGAAGGGAGCUUGCUCCUGGAUUCAGCGGCGGACGGGUGAGUAAUGCCUAGGAAUCUGCCUGGUAGUGGGGGAUAACGUCCGGAAACGGGCGCUAAUACCGCAUACGUCCUGAGGGAGAAAGUGGGGGAUCUUCGGACCUCACGCUAUCAGAUGAGCCUAGGUCGGAUUAGCUAGUUGGUGGGGUAAAGGCCUACCAAGGCGAAGAUCCGUAACUGGGCUGAGAGGAUGAUCAGUCACACGAGAAGUGACACCCGCUACAGACCUCUGCGAGGGACCACAGUGGAGCAUAGUGCAGCAGGGGCGAAAGUCUGACAAAGGCAUGACGCGUGUGAAGAAGGUCUUCGGAUUGUAAAGCACUUUAAGUUGGGAGGAAGGGCAGUAAGUUAAUACCUUGCUGUUUUGACGUUACCAACAGAAUAAGCACCGGCUAACUUCGUG
rnacentral:rRNA from 1 species